UUCUAUAUGGGUUGAAAGAUCCCCGAAGAGAGACCCUUAUUCAAGUCUUGGGAAAUCGUGGACCCCAGACACAGAGAGACCA
rnacentral:pre_miRNA from 14 species